UCAUAAUAGAUUACAUAAUAUUAAUAUUUUUUAGCAUACCGACAAUUCACCGUGUUGUUUUCACCUAGUUGUCACUCUUGAGGUCUUACCAGCAUUGGAGAGUGACCCAUUAUUGCGAUAUCUCUAGUGGUGUCGGUCUUGGAGAUUUCUUUGUCGGCCAUGAACAUGUAUCGGAGAGAAGAGAUGGUGGGAUGAUGUCAUCCUCGGCCCUACCCAGAAAAUGCUUCGAGUGGCUCCUUUGGUCAUGUAUAAUAGAGUAAUAAUCGCUCACGGGGAAAGUAGCUUCGAGCAUGAACCAUCCCAUAUGGUGGAGAUUGUCGUAAUGUUGUCGAAGCAAAGAUUGUAAAAAACCAUGGGCGAAUCACUCGAACAUCCCGAGCUCCUAGCCCCUCUCUAGUUGUGGUCACCAAGGUUGGCUUGUUCACAAUUAUACAUGAUUUUGGCCCAGAGUCCAUGAUUCUAUAUAACCCAAAACUAGAAAAAUCUUAGGAGGCCAUCUCCAAGAGGGACAAUUGUUUCGGAGAAACCGUCGAAGUUUUGUGUUCAUGUUGUCUUGAUGAGAAACCGUCGAAGGUUGGCUUGUUCACAAUUAUACAUGAUUU
rnacentral:lncRNA from 1 species